rnacentral:rRNA from 1 species
CCCGCACAAGCGGUGGAGCAUGUGGUUUAAUUCGACGAUACGCGAAGAACCUUACCAGGUCUUGACAUCCCCUGCAAAGCUAUGGAGACAUAGUGGAGGUUAUCAGGGAGACAGGUGGUGCAUGGUUGUCGUCAGCUCGUGUCGUGAGAUGUUGGGUUAAGUCCCGCAACGAGCGCAACCCUUAUUGCUAGUUACCAUCAUUAAGUUGGGGACUCUAGCGAGACUGCCAGUGAUAAACUGGAGGAAGGUGGGGAUGACGUCAAAUCAUCAUGCCCCUUAUGACCUGGGCUACAAACGUGAUACAAUGGCUGAAACAAAGGGCAGCGAAGGAGCGAUCUGGAGCGAAACCCAAAAAAGCAGUCUCAGUUCGGAUUGAAGUCUGCAACUCGACUUCAUGAAGUCGGAAUCGCUAGUAAUCGCAGGUCAGCAUACUGCGGUGAAUACGUUCCCGGGCCUU